CUAAGAAAUGUUAGUCUUAUAAAUUGAAGCUAGCCUAUUACUUUUGGUCAAUUUUCUUUAAAAAAUACAGAUAUAAUUUGCCAUUAACUCCUGGAUGGAAUUUCGGGAACCAUUAUUUGGAUAGGAGAUUUUCCAGAAGAGGACGUACAAUUUAGAUGACGUGCUGCACAUCGUCAAGUGUUCUUCAUCAAAUUGAUCGGGUCUUGCAUCUACAAAUGAAACGGUGUCUGCCACUGCAGUUGAUGUUGAGACAACUCUCAGUCUUCCUGCAAGUCCUCGCCUGAUACCUGUUUUAAGGGCAUCACACCAACAUUUGCAAUUGGACUUGCUGCUAUGUUUGCAACCUACUACAUUUUCAGCCUUCAGUAUCAAGAUGAGACAGCCUGCCCUGUGGAAUUCAAAAUUAAUGUGUUUGCGCUUCAUUGAUAUAAAUCCAGAGAGAGGGACAAAUGCCAAAAUCAUCAAGCAAGGUUGUCUCUAACAAGAAAGGUGUGAUGGUCCAGAAGUCGUCUUCUGCAGUCAAAUACACAUGUGGCCAUGCUACUGAAGAAUCUCCUUGACUUUUUAAUGGAACUUCAUAUAGAUCUUGGCAGCACUGGAAUAAUGCUGCAGAGAGGAACAGCGGCUAUCAAAGUGAUGAUCGUCUCUUCAUCCACAAGAACUAAGAUGUAAAAACACAAACCUACCUCACAGGACAAUUUUAAGAGGUAACCUGCAAGUCUAGCUUGCAGUGGCACAGGUGCCUACCCUACGGUUUCAUCCUAAAUGUUUUUAUGCAUGUUAUUGAUACAUCCUGACAAAAUGUUCUACUGUACUAUAAUCGUUUCAAAAUGGCCUUAGGUAUGUUUUCAAACUUAUGUCUUAAAUAAAAAAGUAAACUAUAGGUUAUGCCCUUCACAUUUGGUAAGGAUUAGGGGCAGUCUCUGACGAGCAAUUUAAGAAUGUUAAGUUUAUUGCCAUAGUCUAAAGCAG